AUUCUGUGAGCAGGAAAGCAGGGGACCGCAAGGCCUUGCGCUCUUUGAGCGGCCGAUGUCAGAUUAGCUAGUUGGUGAGGUAAAGGCUUGCCAAGGCGACGAUCUGUAGCGGGUCUGAGAGGAUGAUCCGCCACACUGGAACUGAGACACGGUCCAGACUCCUACGGGAGGCAGCAGUGGGGAAUUUUGGACAAUGGGGGCAACCCUGAUCCAGCCAUGCCGCGUGAGUGAAGAAGGCCUUCGGGUUGUAAAGCUCUUUCGGCCGGGAAGAAAUCGCAUGGGCCAAUACCCUGUGUGGAUGACGGUACCGGAAUAAGAAGCACCGGCUAACUACGUGCCAGCAGCCGCGGUAAUACGUAGGGUGCGAGCGUUAAUCGGAAUUACUGGGCGUAAAGCGUGCGCAGGCGGUUUUGUAAGACAGGCGUGAAAUCCCCGGGCUUAACCUGGGAACUGCGUUUGUGACUGCAAGGCUAGAGUACGGCAGAGGGGGGUGGAAUUCCACGUGUAGCAGUGAAAUGCGUAGAGCUGUGGAGGAACACCAAUGGCGAAGGCAGCCCCCUGGGUCGAUACUGACGCUCAUGCACGAAAGCGUGGGAAGCAAACAGGAUUAGAUACCCUGGUAGUCCACGCCCUAAACUAUGUCAACUAGGUGUUGGGUGGGUAAAACCAUUUAGUACCGUAGCUAACGCGUGAAGUUGACCGCCUGGGGAGUACGGCCGCAAGGUUAAAACUCAAAGGAAUUGACGGGGACCCGCACAAGCGGUGGAUGAUGUGGAUUAAUUCGAUGCAACGCGAAAAACCUUACCUACCCUUGACAUGCCAGGAACUUGCCAGAGAUGGCUUGGUGCCCGAAAGGGAGCCUGGACACAGGUGCUGCAUGGCUGUCGUCAGCUCGUGUCGUGAGAUGUUGGGUUAAGUCCCGCAACGAGCGCAACCCUUGUCGUUAAUUGCCAUCAUUUAGUUGGGCACUUUAACGAGACUGCCGGUGACAAACCGGAGGAAGGUGGGGAUGACGUCAAGUCCUCAUGGCCCUUAUGGGUAGGGCUUCACACGUCAUACAAUGGUCGGUACAAAGGGUUGCCAAGCCGCGAGGCGGAGCCAAUCCCAGAAAGCCGAUCGUAGUCCGGAUUGCAGGCUGCAACUCGCCUGCAUGAAGUCGGAAUCGCUAGUAAUCGUGGAUCAGCAUGUCACGGUGAAUACGUUCCCGGGUCUUGUACACACCGCCCGUCACACCAUGGGAGCGGGUUCCGCCAGAAGUAGGUAGCCUAACCGCAAGGGGGGCGCUUACCACGGCGGGGUUCGUGACUGGGGUGAAGUCGUAACAAGGUA
rnacentral:rRNA from 1 species